rnacentral:rRNA from 1 species
UGGGGAAUUUUCCGCAAUGGGCGAAAGCCUGACGGAGCAAUACCGCGUGAGGGAGGAAGGCUCUUGGGUUGUAAACCUCUUUUCUCAGGGAAGAAGUUCUGACGGUACCUGAGGAAGAAGCAUCGGCUAACUCCGUGCCAGCAGCCGCGGUAAUACGGAGGAUGCAAGCGUUAUCCGGAAUGAUUGGGCGUAAAGAGUCCGUAGGUGGCAUUGAAAGUCUGCUGUUAAAGAGUCUAGCUCAACUAGAGAAAAGCGGUGGAAACUACAAAGCUAGAGUGAGGUCGGGGCAGAAGGAAUUCCUGGUGUAGCGGUGAAAUGCGUAGAGAUCAGGAAGAACACCGGUGGCGAAAGCGUUCUGCUAGGUCUGGACUGACACUGAGGGACGAAAGCUAGGGGAGCG